UUCAUCUGUGGAAUUCGUGUAAUGCUAGUAUAUGCCGAGUACAAUUUAGUUCAGUUGACCAGUUACAGUUAGAUGACCAGUGUAGAGGGAAAAUGACCUGUGAUUUGCUUUCACCGCUCUUGUUGAACUCUACGUAUUGCAGUCAAACGACUACGAGAACGGCAUGUUUUAAUGGAUCAUCGUUCCAGCAGAUCGGUUAUUUCAUUCAGUACGACUGCAAUCCAGUGUCCAGUACACCCGCGCAACCCUUUGUCGAACCAACAGUACAGGGGCCGUCGGUAACAGACAUCCCAUUAAAUAGCCCCUUUUCUUCUACGCCAAAGGUCAAUGAAGAGCCAAGACCUGACAGAGAUACCUUAGAUACGUCAAUAAUUAUUGGAAGUGUUGUAGGAAGUCUUCUACUAAUGGUAUUAGUGAUUAUCAGCGUUAUCAUUAUCGUCAGACGAUAAGAAGUUACAAUUAUAAACCGAACGUAAGUGUUUCAAUUUAAAACAACAUCACUGUAGAAGGCAGAUAUAUAUAUGUACAACCAUUCAAUUACGCCCGUCUUCAGAGAAAAACUAACAUCCAAUGUAAAAUUGGUUGAUGAGCACUUUUUGAUUCCAGUAAACGCGACCUCAUGGUCAGUGACUGGAUCGGGUUACACAACUAUCUUAAUACAAGAUUUCAAUUUUCUGUUUACAGUAUAAAACUGGAUGUCACCGAAAAUGU